rnacentral:tRNA from 1 species
GGCCGCCUGGCGCGCGGCGGCCAGCUCCGCGGGCGACAACUCCGCGCGCCGGAGCGGGUUGUCGUUCGGUUCGGCGGGCAGCCCC